GUACGGGAAUGAGGAUAAUUUAUAAGACUGAAAUUAUUGUAUUAUUUGCUGGAAAUGUGGAAUAUGAGGAAUUUAAAGCCAUUCGUGAGUCGUUUUUGAUGAUUCAGCUGGACAAAUGCUGGAAAUUAUACAGUUUUCUCCCACCUUAAAACAGUACAUGGUAUAUCAUGGACACCAAAAGCAAACUAUAAAGAUCUAAAUGCCAUAAUUUUGUGCAUCUUGAAAACUGGAAAGGCGGAUCACUUUGAAGCAGAUGAUAGUAAUAGUGUUUAAAAGAAUUCUUUGCGACAGUUAUACCAGUUGGAACAGAUAAAAGAUACAUCAGAUGACAGACUUACAUAUACAAAUGAUAUAGAGGAGCCUAUAAUUAGAGAAAUGGAUCAACUUGAUUUUGAAGUUAACCUACUGCAUUAAUAUGAAAAUUCAUAAGUGACUGAGCUUAAAGAAAAUCACACAUGAAACUGUAACCAGUUUGGGAGACUCAUACAACAGAACAUUUCAAUACCUAUUAAGUUUUUUAUGUAUAUGUUUGACUUUUGGUAAUAUUUUGGAAGUUACUUUAGUAAUUGAGAGACCUCAAUGUUGAAAAUGACAAUUUUAAGAAUAUCAACUUAGUUGUUUAUGAAUCUUUAUCUUUUAAAAUAUUACUGGGUGUCUGAAAGAAUAUUUCAAAAUUUUCUGAAACUAUAUAGAUAUUUAUCAUGUUUCAUGUGUUUAUAUAGGCAAAUAUUUAUACAUGUCAUUUAUGUUAUGCAAGGGUUUAUAUGAAUUUCUAAAAAGAUGUAUAUAUAUGUGUUGAUAAAAUAAGUUCCAAAUUAUUACAGAGUAACAGAAAAUGGGAUCAAUGUAUAUUAAAACAAAUCUGUUAAAAGGGAAUGAA